UAUCCCUGAACUGGGGAGAGUGGCAUCUGGUUGGUGGUGCCUGUCUCAUAUUAACCAGGGACAAAACAACUCCUUGUUUACCCCAACUUGGCUUUUUGCUGUGCCCAUGCUUGGCUCAUGCCCUGGACACAUGG